AUCUUAAAGAGUUUGAUCCUGGCUCAGAGUGAACGCUAGCGGUGCGCCUAACACAUGCAAGUCGAACGCCCCGCACCCUUUCUGUGUGUAAUAAAUAAUGAUAUCGAAAUUAUUCGAUAACAGUGUCAAAAGACGCACAAAAAGGGUGCGGGGAGUGGCGAACGGCUGAAUAACACGUUGGAACCUGCCCCGAACUCAGGGAUAAUCUACCGAAAGGUGGACUAAUACCGGAUGGUCUCGGUUCCUCUUUGUGCUUGAAAUUAAGGACUAUGUCGCAAUUAGAGCGACAGGGAAAUUGAAAAUUGUAAAUGGUAAAUGGAAAAUUGAGUCUCCAUUAGAGACUCAAAGUCGGAGUCACUUUAGUAUUUUCCAUUUUCCACUUUCCAUUUUCCAUUCCCCCAAUCCGAGCAUAAGGAGGAAUCGAGUAAAGAUUUAUCGGUUCGGGAGGGGCCUGCGGCCUAUCAGUUUGUUGGUAAGGUAAAAGCUUACCAAGACUAUGACGGGUAACUGGUCUGAGAGGACGACCAGUCAGAAUGGGACUGAGACACGGCCCAUACUCCUACGGGAGGCAGCAGUGAGGAAUCUUCCGCAAUGGGGGCAACCCUGACGGAGCGACACCGCGUGAAGGAUGACGCCUUAUUCGGGUGUAAACUUCUGUUCUGAGGGGCGAAAUUUUUGACGGUACCUCAGGAGAAAGCACCGGCUAAUUCCGUGCCAGCAGCCGCGGUAAGACGGAAGGUGCAAGCGUUACUCGGAAUUACUGGGCGUAAAGCGUCCGUAGGCGACUCUGUAUGUCUGGCGUAAAAGCACGAAGCUCAACUCCGUGUACGUGCCGGAAACUGCAGAGAUUGAGUCAUUCAGAGGCAUCUGGAAUGCUAUGUGUAGGGGUAAUAUCCGUUGAUCCAUAGUAGAACGCCAAAAGCGAAGGCAAGAUGCUGGGAAUGUACUGACGCUCAGGGACGAAAGCGUGGGGAGCAAACGGGAUUAGAUACCCCGGUAGUCCACGCCCUAAACGAUGCGUGCUCGGUGUGGGAAUUAUCAAUUGAUUUCCGUGCCUUAGCUAACGCGGUAAGCACGCCGCCUGGGAAGUACGGCCGCAAGGCUAAAACUCAAAGGAAUAGACGGGGACCCACACAAGCGGUGGAGCAUGGGGUUUAAUUCGAUAAUAAGCGGAGAACCUCACCCAGGUUUGACAUCCCGAGGAUCCACCCGAAAGGGAGGAGUGCCGUAAGGAACUCGGUGACAGGUGAUGCACGGUCGUCGUCAGCUCGUGCCUUGAGGUGUACUGUUAAGUCAGCAAACGAGCGCAACCCUCAUCCUAUGUUGUUUUUUCAUAGGAGACUGCCGCCUCCAAGGCGGAGGAAGGUGAGGAUGACGUCAGAUCUGCGUGUCCCUUAUGCCUGGGGCAACACCCGUGCUACAAUGGCCGGUACAGAGGGCAGCGAACCCGCGAGGGGGAGCAAAUCCCAAAAAACCGGUCUCAGUUCGGAUUGAAGUCUGCAACUCGACUUUAUGAAGUUGGAAUCGCUAGUAACCGUGAAUCAGCUACGUCACGGUGAAUAUGUUCCUGGGUCUUGUACUCACUGUUAAAAAGCGCUCGGCAGCGCAUAAAACUAGGUGGUUAAAAUCCACCCCUCCUUU
rnacentral:rRNA from 1 species